GAUGAACGCUGGCGGCGUGCCUAAUACAUGCAAGUCGAGCGAACAGACGAGGAGCUUGCUCCUCUGACGUUAGCGGCGGACGGGUGAGUAACACGUGGAUAACCUACCUAUAAUACUGGGAUAACUUCGGGAAACCGGAGCUAAUACCGGAUAAUAUAUUGAACCGCAUGGUUCAAUAGUGAAAGACGGUUUUGCUGUCACUUAUAGAUGGAUCCGCGCCGCAUUAGCUAGUUGGUAAGGUAACGGCUUACCAAGGCGACGAUGCGUAGCCGACCUGAGAGGGUGAUCGGCCACACUGGAACUGAGACACGGUCCAGACUCCUACGGGAGGCAGCAGUAGGGAAUCUUCCGCAAUGGGCGAAAGCCUGACGGAGCAACGCCGCGUGAGUGAUGAAGGUCUUCGGAUCGUAAAACUCUGUUAUUAGGGAAGAACAAAUGUGUAAGUAAAUAUGCACGUCUUGACGGUACCUAAUCAGAAAGCCACGGCUAACUACGUG
rnacentral:rRNA from 1 species